ensembl:lncRNA
GGGAAGGCAACAUCCCAAAAUUAAUUCAAACCAUUCACAGAUCCCACCCCUCGAAUCCCUCACAGGAUACCACCAACUCCAACUCCAAAACCUCUCAUUGACACUAUCCCCUCAGCACAUUCACCUUUACCGGCCCCUCUUGACCUCUCCUAUCAUCCCACUGCCUGCUAAUCACCACUUGCUCCAUCCUCUCUCCAAUUCCCUUCACCCAUACAGUCUCUGGCCAGCAGCACACUGGACCCAGUAAUCCCAGAGGAUGACGUUGUGCGCAGCCGCAUCAUGGACCAUGGAAUGGCUAUAAAAGCCAUGUUAUUCUGUCCAGAGUUGGGGCCUACAAGGUAUUUUACCAAGACGUCUUCCAGCUGGGCCCUGGACAAGAGUUGGAGAGUGAGGUAAUAAAUACAUAUCUCAG